rnacentral:rRNA from 1 species
CCUACGGGCGGCUGCAGUGGGGAAUAUUGGACAAUGGGGGCAACCCUGAUCCAGCCAUGCCGCGUGUGUGAAGAAGGCCCUCGGGUUGUAAAGCACUUUCAGUGAGGAAGAACGCCUGGUGGUUAAUACCCAUCAGGAAAGACAUCACUCACAGAAGAAGCACCGGCUAACUCCGUGCCAGCAGCCGCGGUAAUACGGAGGGUGCGAGCGUUAAUCGGAAUUACUGGGCGUAAAGCGCGCGUAGGUGGCUUGAUAAGCCGGUUGUGAAAGCCCCGGGCUCAACCUGGGAACGGCAUCCGGAACUGUCAAGCUAGAGUGCAGGAGAGGAAGGUAGAAUUCCCGGUGUAGCGGUGAAAUGCGUAGAGAUCGGGAGGAAUACCAGUGGCGAAGGCGGCCUUCUGGACUGACACUGACACUGAGGUGCGAAAGCGUGGGUAGCAAACAGGAUUAGAUACCCCGGUAGUC